UACGAAGGGGGCUAGCGUUGCUCGGAAUUACUGGGCGUAAAGCGCACGUAGGCGGUCUUUUAAGUCGGGGGUGAAAUCCUGGAGCUCAACUCCAGAACUGCCUUCGAUACUGGAAGACUUGAGUCCGGGAGAGGUGAGUGGAACUGCGAGUGUAGAGGUGAAAUUCGUAGAUAUUAGGAAGAACACCAGUGGCGAAGGCGGCUCACUGGCCCGGAACUGACGCUGAGGUACGAAAGCGUGGGGAGCAAACAGG
rnacentral:rRNA from 1 species